AGAUUGAACGCUGGCGGCAGGCCUAACACAUGCAAGUCGAGCGGCAGCACGGGUACUUGUACCUGGUGGCGAGCGGCGGACGGGUGAGUAAUGCCUAGGAAUCUGCCUGAUAGUGGGGGAUAACGUUCGGAAACGGACGCUAAUACCGCAUACGCCCUACGGGGGAAAGGGGGGAUCGCAAGACCUCUCACUAUUGGAGCGGCCGAUAUCAGAUUAGCUAGUUGGUGAGGUAAAGGCUCACCAAGGCGACGAUCUGUAGCUGGUUUGAGAGGACGACCAGCCACACUGGGACUGAGACACGGCCCAGACUCCUACGGGAGCAGCAGUGGGAAUUUGGACAAUGGGGGAAACCCUG
rnacentral:rRNA from 1 species